GACGAACGCUGGCGGCGUGCUUAACACAUGCAAGUCGAACGGAAAGGCCCUGCUUUUGUGGGGUGCUCGAGUGGCGAACGGGUGAGUAACACGUGAGUAACCUGCCCUUGACUUUGGGAUAACUUCAGGAAACUGGGGCUAAUACCGGAUAGGAGCUCCUGCUGCAUGGUGGGGGUUGGAAAGUUUCGGCGGUUGGGGAUGGACUCGCGGCUUAUCAGCUUGUUGGUGGGGUAGUGGCUUACCAAGGCUUUGACGGGUAGCCGGCCUGAGAGGGUGACCGGCCACAUUAGGACUGAGAUACGGCGCAGACUCCUACGGGAGACAGCGGGGGGGAAUAUUGCACAAUGGGCGGAAGCCUGAGGCGGCAACGCCGCGUGCGGGAUGACGGCCUUCGGGUUGUGAACCGCUUUCGCCUGUGACGAAGCGUGGGUGACGGUAAUGGGUAAAGAAGCACCGGCUAACUACGUG
rnacentral:rRNA from 1 species